rnacentral:rRNA from 1 species
GAUCCCAUCAGAACUCCGAAGUUAAGCGUGCUUGGGCGAGAGUAUUUCUAGGAAGGGUGACCUCCUAGAAACAACGCGUCGGAUACUCGGACCA